rnacentral:misc_RNA from 1 species
GAUGAAGAACGCAGUGAAAUGCGAUAAGUAAUGUGAAUUGCAGAAUUCAGUGAAUCAUCGAAUCUUUGAACGCACAUUGCGCCCGCCAGUAUUCUGGCGAGCAUGCCUGUUCGAGCGUCAUUACAACCCUCAGGCCCCCGGGCCUGGCGUUGGGGAUCGGCGGAGCCCCCCGUGGGCACACGCCGUCCCCCAAAUGCAGUGGCGGUCCCGCCGCAGCUUCCAUCGCGUAGUAGCUAACACCUCGCGACUGGAGAGCGGCGCGGCCACGCCGUAAAACACCCAACUCUUCUGAAGUUGACCUCGAAUCAGGUAGGAAUACCCGCUGAACUUAAGCAUAUCAAUAAGCGGAGGA